GCUUAUGGCCAUACCAGUCUGAAAGUGCCUGAUCUCGUCCGAUCAUAGAAGCCAUCCAGACUCUGGCCUGGUUAGUAAUUGUAUGGGAUGGGAGACCAACUAGCAACCUCAGGUGCUGCAAGUU